GCGAUUAACAGUGAAGGCAUGAGCUAGAUUUGGGUUGCACAAUCUCCGAGCUUCUUUACAUUAAGGUCUUGCAGUUGAUCAUUCUCUUUCUUGCAUUACUGCACGAUUCAUUUCGAUUAUAUUUUCCCUAGAACCGCAAAUACAGAUACAUUGAGUUCCUUGCUACACCAUGGCGUCUACAAGCUAUGAAUACUAGUUUUAAUGAGGAUUUUUUUUUGGUGAAUUAAUUUU